rnacentral:rRNA from 1 species
UACAGGGGGGGCAAGCGUUGUUCGGAAUUACUGGGCGUAAAGGGCGCGUAGGCGGUACUUCAAGUCAGGCGUGAAAGCCCCGGGCUCAACCUGGGAACCGCGCUUGAGACUGGAGAACUAGAGUUCGGGAGAGGAUGGUGGAAUUCCCAGUGUAGAGGUGAAAUGCGUAGAUAUCAGGAGGAACACCAAUGGCGAAGGCAGCUCUCUGGUACGUGACUGACACUGAGACGCGAAAGCGUGGGGAGCGAACAGG